rnacentral:tRNA from 1 species
GGAAGAGGUGCGAACAAUCAAAACUGCUAAUUUUUUUUUCUCUGGUUAAACUCCAGGGCUCAUCCG